rnacentral:rRNA from 1 species
UACGAACUGUGCAAACGUUAUUCGGAAUCACUGGGCUUACAGGGUGCGUAGGCGGCUUGUUAAGUAGGGUGUGAAAGCCCCCGGCUCAACCGGGGAAUUGCGCCCUAAACUGGCGAGCUGGAGUGAGAUAGGGGUGUGUGGAACUUCCGGUGGAGCGGUGAAAUGUGUUGAUAUCGGAAGGAACGCCGGUGGCGAAAGCGACACACUGGAUCUUGUCUGACGCUGAGGCACGAAAGCCAGGGGAGCGA